UACUUUCGGCUCAGUUGAUAGGCUAAACAAAAUAAUCCACAUAAUGUGUGAAUGUGGAUGUAAAAAAACCCUUCAAUACAGUAAACCUUAUGUGAUAAUUAAGUUCCAUAAAUACAGUACUACUCGUAAUUGACCGUAGUAGUUUUGAAGAGGGACAGUUCGUGGUAGGGCGGCGGCGGUUCGUCGGCAACAUUUUGACUACUGUACGGCGGUGGUGGAUCUGUAUACGGGUGCCGCUCGGAGCCGCUGUUGGUGCAGAUCUUGGUGGUAGUAGCAAAUAUUCAAGUGAGAACCUUGAAGACUGAAGUGGGGCAAGGUUCCAUGUGAACAGCAGUUGGACAUGGGUCAGUCGAUCCUAAGAAAACGGCGAAAGCUUGUUCGAAUUUGCGACAUGAAUUGUAAGACUGUGUGUUUAUUGUGUGUGUGCAGUUGUCGUAUGUUUUCGAAAGGGAAUCCGGUUGAUAUUCCGGAACCGAGUAACGGAGACAAAGAGUAGCGCUUUAAUCUCUCUGUGGGGUUGGCGUUCAACUCAAUCGCGCGGUAACGCAAGCGAACUCGGAAAAUGACCGUCGUGAGUUUCGAAAAGAGUUUUCUUUUCUUUUUAAGGGACGCAUUCCCUGGAACCGGGUUGUCCGGAGAUAGGGAUUCUGGUAUCCAUAAAACGCCGACUUUUUCACGGUGUUCGGAGCGCUCUCGUCGGUACGUGAAAAUCCGAGCGACGCCUGGUAAAUCUCGUACUUGGUCGUACUGAUAUCCGCAGCAGGUCUCCAAGGGGAAUAGCCUCUGGCCGAUAGAAUAAUGUAGGUAAGGGAAGUCGGCAAAACGGAUCCGUAACUUCGGAACAAGGAUUGGCUCUAAGGGCUGGGCCGAUCGGGCUGAGGUUUCAAGCGUGCAGUGUAUGCUUGGCUGAGUUGUGUUGAGGACUUGUUCACUUGCCGCCGUUUGUUCGGUUGGUCUAGUGUAUUCGAGUCUGAAGCAGAGCUGGCCGACAGACCGGCACGUGCAGAACCUGAGCUGCGCGGCUGUCCGUUUACGUGUACAGACCGUUUCGGUCGGCAUUCAACAGCCAACUUAGAACUGGCACGGACACAAGGAAUCUGACUGUAUAAUUAAAACAAAGCAUUGCGAUGGCCGAUGAUCGGUGAUGACGCAAUGUGAUCUCUGCCCAGUGCUCUGAAUGUCAAAGUGGAGGAAAUUCAAUCAAGCGCGGGUAAACGGCGGGAGUAACUAUGACUCUCUUAAGGUAGCCAAAUGCCUCGUCAUCUAAUUAGUGACGCGUAUGAAUGGAUCAACAAGAUUCCUUCUGUCCCUAUCUACUAUCUAGCGAAACCACAGCCAAGGGAACGGGCUUGGCGAAAUCAGCGGGGAAAGAAGACCCUGUUGAGCUUGACUCUAGUCUGACUCUGUGAAGAGACAUGAAAGGUGUAGCAUAGGUGGGAGAUUGUCAAAUUGCCAUCGUUCGCGCGGUGGUCCGGUGAUCGCCAAUGAAAUACCACUACUUUGAUCGUUUCUUUACUUAUUCGGUAAAGCGAAAAAAUUGUGGCCAAUUUGGCGGUGUUUAUGUCGCUGUUGGUCAUUGUUUUCAUGUUAGAUUGAAGCUUUGUUUACAGCCGUCGCUUUGUGUCGCCAUUUGACGCAUUGUUGUACUGGGUUAUCCCGGUGUGUGGUGUAGUCAGUAUGGAUGAUCGGCGAUAGGUUUGAAGUGAUUCGCUCCGGAAACAGUGUCAGACGGGGAGUUUGACUGGGGCGGUACAUCUGUUAAACGAUAACGCAGGUGUCCUAAGGUAAGCUCAGCGAGGACAGAAACCUCGCUUAGAGUAAACGGGCACAAGCUUACUUGAUUUUGAUUUCCAGUACGAAUAGAAACCGCGAAAGCGUGGCCUAUCGAUCCUUUUGAUUGUGUAGAUUUCAUGCAAGAGGUGUCAGAAAAGUUACCACAGGGAUAACUGGCUUGUGGCAGCCAAGCGUCCAUAGCGACGUUGCUUUUUGAUCCUUCGAUGUCGGCUCUUCCUAUCAUUGCGAAGCAGAAUUCGCCAAGCGUUGGAUUGUUCACCCACCAAUAGGGAACGUGAGCUGGGUUUAGACCGUCGUGAGACAGGUUAGUUUUACCCUACUGAUGACAAGUCGUUGCGAUAGUAAUCCUGCUCAGUACGAGAGGAACCGCGGGAUCAGACAUUUGGUUCAUGCGCUCGGCUGAAAGGCCGGUGGCGCGAAGCUAGCAUCUGCAAGAUUAUGACUGAACGCCUCUAAGUCAGAAUCUUUUCUAGUCAUUGGCAACGAUAAGUUGCGUCCAGACUCGAUGCGAGGAAACGAUUAGGCUUUGCUAUACGGCGAAGCCAUUAUCAGACCACGGUAGCAGGCAGUAUGGGAUUGUUACGAAAAAGCAAUUUUUUGAAGUCAGUUGAAUUCAAUCAAACUGCUAACAAUUCCACUGCGAAUGACUCCAUUCGAAUCAAU
rnacentral:rRNA from 1 species